rnacentral:rRNA from 1 species
GAGUUUGAUCCUGGCUCAGAUUGAACGCUGGCGGCAUGCCUUACACAUGCAAGUCGAACGGUAACAGGUCUUCGGAUGCUGACGAGUGGCGAACGGGUGAGUAAUACAUCGGAACGUGCCCGAUCGUGGGGGGAUAACGGAGCGAAAGCUUUGCUAAUACCGCAUACGAUCUACGGAUGAAAGCAGGGGACCGCAAGGCCUUGCGCGGACGGAGCGGCCGAUGGCAGAUUAGGUAGUUGGUGGGAUAAAAGCUUACCAAGCCGACGAUCUGUAGCUGGUCUGAGGGACGACCAGCCACACUGGGACUGAGACACGGCCCAGACUCCUACGGGAGGCAGCAGUGGGGAAUUUUGGACAAUGGGCGAAAGCCUGAUCCAGCCAUGCCGCGUGCAGGAUG